UGACUGACCUGCCACCCCUUUACAGUGAUCUCCACCCAGUCUCUCUCUGCAAAGGCCUCCCUUGGCUCUCUGAUAAAGUUGGAGCUGUGGGUGCAGCAUUUCACUUCCACCUAGCAGCAUCAAUGAGCCAGCUGCUUACUGGGGAACACGCAAACCCCCAGCUGCUGGCGUGCAGGAAAAGAAUCCAGGAGAUCACCUGAUGAAGCCCAGCAUUUUACAGAGCAAAGUGGUGAAAGGACCCUGGUGAGAGGCCCAAAGAACAGGAGGUGUGAGCCAACAGAAGGUGGGGUCCUGCUGGGCCUAUGUUGCAGGCUAUUUGGAGGCUGAACUUGAGGAAGACAGAUGUCAGCUUUCUGAAGAAAGUGUCAAGCAUUUGUCCCUUACAAGGACUGGGAAGAAAGAGCACACAUCUUCCCUGUUGCCCUGCCCUUGACAUAUUUAUAACAUCCCAGGACUGGCCCUGACCAUCCUCUCCCAAGUAACGGAAUGUCAAGACGAGUGCAGAGAUUAUGCUGUAAGUAGAAAAGCUUUACAGUAAGCCGAGGUGAUCACCAGCCUCCCUGAGCUAAAAUAAUCACAGGCUUUUUGUCUUAGUGACCCCUGUCCUACUCUCAGGCACCUUAUAUCCUCAAAUCUUAAAUAGAGUUAAGAGAUUACGCA
rnacentral:lncRNA from 1 species